rnacentral:rRNA from 1 species
GAGUUUGAUCGUGGCUCAGGAUGAACGCUAGCGGCAGGCCUAAUACAUGCAAGUCGAGGGGCAGCGGGUGUAGCAAUACAUGCCGGCGACCGGCGCACGGGUGCGUAACACGUAUGUAAUCUACCUUUUACUGGAGAAUAGCCCGAAGAAAUUCGGAUUAAUAUUCCAUAAUAUCAUUGGGGGGCAUCUCUUGAUGAUUAAAGUUCCGACGGUAAAAGAUGAGCAUGCGCGAUAUUAGCUAGUUGGUGAGGUAACGGCUCACCAAGGCGACGAUAUCUAGGGGUACUGAGAGGUUACACCCCCACACUGGUACUGAGACACGGACCAGACUCCUACGGGAGGCAGCAGUAAGGAAUAUUGGACAAUGGUCGCAAGACUGAUCCAGCCAUGCCGCGUGCAGGAUGACUGCCCUAUGGGUUGUAAACUGCUUUUGUACGGGAAUAAACCGGGUACGUGUACCCGGCUGAAUGUACCGUAAGAAUAAGGGUCGGCUAAC